CGCGCAUCAGCCACGGCGCGGUGAAUACGUUCCCGGGUCUUGUACACACCGCCCGUCACACCAUGGGAGUCGGAUAUGCCCGAAGCCGGUGACCUAACCGCAAGGAAGGAGCCGUCGAAGGUGGAGCCGAUGACUGGGGUGAAGUCGUAACAAGGUAUC
rnacentral:rRNA from 1 species